rnacentral:rRNA from 1 species
CGGUUAAGUUAGAAAGGGCGCACGGUGGAUGCCUUGGCACUAGGAGCCGAUGAAGGACGGGACGAACACCGAUAUGCUUCGGGGAGCUGUAAGCAAGCUUUGAUCCGGAGAUUUCCGAAUGGGGAAACCCACCACUCGUAAUGGAGUGGUAUCCAUAUCUGAAUACAUAGGAUAUGAGAAGGCAGACCCGGGGAACUGAAACAUCUAAGUACCCGGAGGAAGAGAAAGCAAAUGCGAUUCCCUGAGUAGCGGCGAGCGAAACGGGAUCAGCCCAAACCAAGAGGCUUGCCUCUUGGGGUUGUAGGACACUCUGUACGGAGUUACAAAGGAACGAGGUAGAUGAAGAGGUCUGGAAAGGCCCGCCAUAGGAGGUAACAGCCCUGUAGUCAAAACUUCGUUCUCUCCUGAGUGGAUCCUGAGUACGGCGGAACACGUGAAAUUCCGUCGGAAUCCGGGAGGACCAUCUCCCAAGGCUAAAUACUCCCUAGUGACCGAUAGUGAACCAGUACCGUGAGGGAAAGGUGAAAAGCACCCCGGAAGGGGAGUGAAAGAGAUCCUGAAACCGUGUGCCUACAAGUAGUCAGAGCCCGUUAACGGGUGAUGGCGUGCCUUUUGUAGAAUGAACCGGCGAGUUACGAUCCCGUGCAAGGUUAAGCAGAAGAUGCGGAGCCGCAGCGAAAGCGAGUCUGAAUAGGGCGAAUUGAGUACGUGGUCGUAGACCCGAAACCAGGUGAUCUACCCAUGUCCAGGGUGAAGUUCAGGUAACACUGAAUGGAGGCCCGAACCCACGCACGUUGAAAAGUGCGGGGAUGAGGUGUGGGUAGGGGUGAAAUGCCAAUCGAACCUGGAGAUAGCUGGUUCUCUCCGAAAUAGCUUUAGGGCUAGCCUCAAGGUAAGAGUCUCGGAGGUAGAGCACUGAUUGGACUAGGGGCCCCUACCGGGUUACCGAAUUCAGUCAAACUCCGAAUGCCGAUGACUUAUCCUUGGGAGUCAGACUGCGAGUGAUAAGAUCCGUAGUCGAAAGGGAAACAGCCCAGACCGCCAGCUAAGGUCCCAAAGUAUACGUUAAGUGGAAAAGGAUGUGGAGUUGCUUAGACAACCAGGAUGUUGGCUUAGAAGCAGCCACCAUUUAAAGAGUGCGUAAUAGCUCACUGGUCGAGUGACUCUGCGCCGAAAAUGUACCGGGGCUAAACGUAUCACCGAAGCUGCGGACUGUUCUUCGAACAGUGGUAGGAGAGCGUUCUAAGGGCUGUGAAGCAAGACCGGAAGGACUUGUGGAGCGCUUAGAAGUGAGAAUGCCGGUAUGAGUAGCGAAAGAGGGGUGAGAAUCCCCUCCACCGAAUGCCUAAGGUUUCCUGAGGAAGGCUCGUCCGCUCAGGGUUAGUCGGGACCUAAGCCGAGGCCGAAAGGCGUAGGCGAUGGAUAACAGGUUGAUAUUCCUGUACCACCUCCUCACCAUUUGAGCAAUGGGGGGACGCAGGAGGAUAGGGUAAGCGCGGUAUUGGAUAUCCGCGUCCAAGCAGUUAGGCUGGGAAAUAGGCAAAUCCGUUUCCCGUGAAGGCUGAGCUGUGAUGGCGAGCGAAUUAUAGUAGCGAAGUUCCUGAUUCCACACUGCCAAGAAAAGCCUCUAGCGAGGUGAGAGGUGCCCGUACCGCAAACCGACACAGGUAGGCGAGGAGAGAAUCCUAAGGUGAUCGAGAGAACUCUCGUUAAGGAACUCGGCAAAAUGACCCCGUAACUUCGGGAGAAGGGGUGCUCUGUUAGGGUGCAAGCCCGAGAGAGCCGCAGUGAAUAGGCCCAGGCGACUGUUUAGCAAAAACACAGGUCUCUGCGAAGCCGUAAGGCGAAGUAUAGGGGCUGACGCCUGCCCGGUGCUGGAAGGUUAAGAGGAGCGCUUAGCGUAAGCGAAGGUGCGAAUUGAAGCCCCAGUAAACGGCGGCCGUAACUAUAACGGUCCUAAGGUAGCGAAAUUCCUUGUCGGGUAAGUUCCGACCCGCACGAAAGGCGCAACGAUCUGGGCACUGUCUCAACGAGAGACUCGGUGAAAUUAUAGUACCUGUGAAGAUGCAGGUUACCCGCGACAGGACGGAAAGACCCCGUGGAGCUUUACUGCAGCCUGAUAUUGAAUGUUGGUACAGCUUGUACAGGAUAGGUAGGAGCCUUGGAAACCGGAGCGCCAGCUUCGGUGGAGGCAUCGGUGGGAUACUACCCUGGCUGUAUUGACCUUCUAACCCGCCGCCCUUAUCGGGCGGGGAGACAGUGUCAGGUGGACAGUUUGACUGGGGCGGUCGCCUCCUAAAAGGUAACGGAGGCGCCCAAAGGUUCCCUCAGAAUGGUUGGAAAUCAUUCGCAGAGUGUAAAGGCACAAGGGAGCUUGACUGCGAGACCUACAAGUCGAGCAGGGACGAAAGUCGGGCUUAGUGAUCCGGUGGUUCCGCAUGGAAGGGCCAUCGCUCAACGGAUAAAAGCUACCCCGGGGAUAACAGGCUUAUCUCCCCCAAGAGUCCACAUCGACGGGGAGGUUUGGCACCUCGAUGUCGGCUCAUCGCAUCCUGGGGCUGUAGUCGGUCCCAAGGGUUGGGCUGUUCGCCCAUUAAAGCGGUACGCGAGCUGGGUUCAGAACGUCGUGAGACAGUUCGGUCCCUAUCCGUCGCGGGCGCAGGAAAUUUGAGAGGAGCUGUCCUUAGUACGAGAGGACCGGGAUGGACGCACCGCUGGUGUACCAGUUGUUCUGCCAAGGGCAUCGCUGGGUAGCUAUGUGCGGACGGGAUAAGUGCUGAAAGCAUCUAAGCAUGAAGCCCCCCUCAAGAUGAGAUUUCCCAUUCCGCAAGGAAGUAAGAUCCCUGAAAGAUGAUCAGGUUGAUAGGUCUGAGGUGGAAGUGUGGCGACACAUGGAGCUGACAGAUACUAAUCGAUCGAGGACUUAACCAAUUU